UCCCUGGUGGUCCAGUGGUUAAGACUCUGAACUUUGACUUCAGAGAGUGAGGGUUUGAUCCCUGGUCUGGGAG
rfam:TPA: Bos taurus chromosome 2, whole genome shotgun sequence.